AUUUGAGCCUGCGGAGAUGCCUCAGUUCUGCGCACCUGCUUCUCUCACUGCUGGGACCUGUACGGCGGGGGCAGGUCCUUUAGAGAAGUUCCAUCUCGCCAAGUCGAACAAGGAUCUGUAUUCACAGUAUGAGUGAGCCCCCUGCAUUGGCCAUCUUCCCUGUUUUCUCGACCAGCACCAUCUACAGAAGCUGACAAUGACCAUUGGGUUUUCCAGUGGAUACCAGAACGCCCCUUCCUGCUGCCUGGAGGGAAGACAGGAUAACCGUUUGGCAGCAAGAGGGAAAAAUGAGAGAAAGCUUCCCUCGGACGUCAGUGAUCCUUGGCUGUGUGUUCACAUGUAAGAGCAGGCCACCAACAGGCCGGGUGGAUGCUGUAAGUGCCUGAGAUUGACGUGUCGAUUGGAUGAGCAUCACUCUACAACAGUCGGUUGUUCCUGCCAACUUGUCUGCUACCGACUCCUAAACGGCACAGCUGUGUUCCGGUCCCCAGGUCUCUGCGGCCCCACAACGGGCCGUGGGUGGUCAGCCCCGCUCAAGAGGUGUCAUUCUGAUGGUUUGGGUACAUAAAAUAGAGAAGAGGCAUUUCUUGAGCCAUGAUCUGUGACAUUCAAACGAGCCUCGAGUGACGACGCCAAAAGAGAAAAAAUAGUCCAAGAAGGUGGUUGAAAUAGUGCAGCUGAGCCUGUGAUCCCACAAGCGUCCACAAGAGGGCGCGCAGGAGCCAGAAUUCAGGAGGCCCUGGCGAGCGGGUACUGAGAAGUGAUGGUCACAACGCGGAGGCCCAGAGAGGGAGCGGGCGCGCCCCAGCGCGCAGCCAGUGACCCCUGCCUGUCUCCCUGCGAGGAUCAGGGUCAGGAAUGGGGAGGUGCGGGAACUUGUCUUGUUACCCGCCUGGCUGGAGAGGAAGAGUCAACUAGGGAAGCGGAAGGUGCGUUUUUCAACACCACCACUUAAAGGACACUUGGAUGACAUUGUUACCGGAUACGGAUAAAAGAUUUAAAGUUAUAAUAACUGUGAAUGUUGAGAAAGCGGCGCGAUCAUCUCCAAAAUCCUCUGCAGAAAUUAGAAAUUCGGAUGCAUGCCAACAACAGUGCGUGCAUAUACAAGCCAGGUAUUCCUAGUUAACGACCAAAGCGACGUGGCCACGUGGCAGGUUUCCAAUCCCAGUUAACAACUCACUUAGCUCCUCCCACUAGGGAGCUGCAGUUCUUGACAGCUUUUUUAACUGAGGGGCUUUGCAUUAUUUUGAAGCUGACUGCAUAAACAUUUUUAUGUGGCAUUUUCCCAAAGCCACAUAGGUAGUUGAAUUUCUCCUAAACGGUGACCUCACCCCGGAUGAUCUCCCUUGCUAUGUCCUUUACUCCAGAAUGGUGGAAAUGUGUGACCGCACCCAACAAUCACAGCUAUGGACUUCGGAAAUUCCAGCCACCUGCCCCAUAUCCACGCAGGGGCCGGUGUGGAGGCAGCCUCGGCAGAGGCCCGCCCGCCCCGGAGGGCUGGCCCCACCCCUCCUCCAAGUCGACUCCUCUUGGGGAGUGGAGAAGGGGCUCCCCUCCGAGGAGUCCUCCUGUCUCCUCCUGCUCCCACUUCCCACGAGCACUGGGUGGAAGCUGUCUGCCACUCUGUUCCAGCUACCCCGCUCCUCAACAUAGAUCCAUGCUGGGGGCAGGCGGGAGAUGAGAGAAACUGGGUGUCAGUUUCAAGCAUUCACAGGACCAUCAGACUUUCCACGUUGCCGAGAAGAAGCUGUCAGUACAACUCCUGUGAGGUGUCUCCUUGGCCUUCCUCUGCCUGGAACUGCCUCCUGAAAGCUCCCGCAGAAGAGAAAGGGCCAGGCCCUAGGAAGGAGCACAAGAGGGCCACCAGCACAGGCUCUGACCCCCCCUGCUGGGAUUCCGGGCCUGCUUCCACCUCCAGUGACCUCGAGCAAGCCCCUACCCAAGACACCGCCCCUCGCUGGGCCUCCGUUUCCACCUCUGUAGGGUGGGGACAUUAAUAACCACCUGCUUCCCAGGGUCCCUGUGAGAAUGAAAUGCGCUCCCCCGGGUGACCGCGCCAAGCACCUGGUAAUGAAUGGGACACAUGUUUGCUGACGGCCUGGGGUGUCUGCGGGCCAGGGUCAGCAUCUGGGAAGUCCCACCCCUCAGAGAAUUUGUGGUCCCACCUUAAAGAGUGACCCGGCCAGGAAGACUCUCCCACUAAUUCAGAUUCACCCGUGGGGAUGCACGGGGAAUCGCUCAGCGGAGGAGGGCCAGGGUCCCGGCUCUAGCUUUGCCCGAGUGUCUGUCACUCUCCUUCCACCUCUGGGCCGCCUCUAAGACUUGAGGAGCUUGGACAGGAGCCUGGGGGCCUCUUCGACCCGGGUUAUCCAUUCAGACUUGCCCCUCCCAGCGGGCCGCCCCCUCCCUGGGCAGCCAGCGAAUCUGCAAGUUUGCCCAGGGAGUACGUCUGGUGGUCUCAGAACCACACUCCUUCCAGCCCUCAGGAGUCAGCCGGGUGGCCAGGCCCAAAGGUGAUGGCCGCAGCCCAGCCUUCAUCUUCUGGACCCCCACCCACCUCCACCAAGCUCUGUUUUCCCCCUCGGAGCCCAGAUUAUACUUCGUGGACAAUCCCUUGCUCUCUCUGGGCCUCAGCUUCCCCUCGCAAGAAUGGGCAGCUGGAUGUCUCCAGCGGUCCAGCUAAGCCUUCUCACAAUGUAGGAACUCGGCCUCCAUCCUCCACUCCCCACCCCCACUGCAGGUGCCUAAGGACCUCGCCCCCCUUGCCCCACCCCUCCCCGUUGCUCCCUCCCCUCUCUCCUCCUCUGCUGCUGCACUGGGGCCACUGCUGGCUGGGGUCCCAGGCACCAGAGGGGGACCCCACAGAACAGUAGAAGGAAGGGCGGUGGUCUUUAGGAGGAGAGAAUGGGAUGCCCUGGCUCCAUCAAGCCAGCCCAUUCCUGCCCCUCUCCUGUCAUGUUUUAAUGUCUCUUCACAUUCUUAUCUCCCACCAACAAGGAGGCUCCUGAGGGCGGGGCGGGGGCAGGGGAGGGUGGCAUCCAGCCUUUCCCCUCUGUAUCCCCAGCACCUGGAUCCUGGGACCUGUUUCCUGACGGGACAGGGCAAGGUCUGGGGCAGGAGCCAGGACGAUAACAUGGUCCUGGCCUGUGGCCUGUUCAACAUGCUCCAAGUGUCCCCACAGGGCCAAACCAUGCCACCAAGACAGGGCUGCCCUGGACCCUCCCUCGGCUGUCUCCUCCCUCCCUUCUCAGCUCCUCUGCCUUUUAAUCUCUCACUCCCGCUUCCCUGCCACCCAAGACCUCCUCCGCUUGUGUCCAGCCUUCCCCCUGGAGAGCCAGUCAUUUCCAGCUCUUUCUGACUCCAACUGGAAGGGGGGUAGGGAUGGGGGAGAAGGGGCUUUGGAUCACGAGGGUAGAGGAAGGGAGGCAGGACCCUCACAGUGCUCUGGCUUCAGGGCGAAAUGUCGAAAAAUCAUUCAGAACUUCUUCCUACGGGAAAUUCGCCUACUUGCGUAAUUUUCAUAUCCAAUUCUGCUACAAGAGCGUCUGUGUCCUUCCCACCUUCAGUUCCGUUUCUAAACACUCUCUUUUAUUACUUGAGUCAUGGGAAGUGCCAGGUCCCAAUGAGUGUGUGGGGGGGACGAGAGGUGGCAGAGGAGGAGAAAUGCCUCAGUGACAGUGAAGAAUCGCUAAGUGUGAUUUCGUUGAACCCAGAUCCUGGUGUCAGCCCUGAAAUUCCUCCUCCUCCAGGAAGCCCUUCUGGGCUGGGGGGAAAGCCCCUGAUUUAAGAAACAGUAUCAGAUGUUUCCUAGAUCUAACUGGUUGUUCUCCUGCCUCUGCCCCUCGCCGCCUGAGGAGCCCUUCCUCCAUAUGUGUCCAAGUGCCCCCAUCUGUCACUGCCAGGUGUAAAGGGCACUACUUCCCAGGAGAAGAGCCUAACCCUCCCCAGGCACUUUCUACCCUGGGCUGCCGUGAUCACAGGUCUGGGGACCAGCCUGGCUUCGCCCAAGUGUCUUUCAAGUCACUUUCAGCCCCUGGGGCUUCUCUUCAGAAACCUCAGCGGUGGAUACAAGCUUACCGGCCAGUUAGGCCACCCUGCCCUGGGUGUCAUCUCCUCGCUAGCCUGUGAGCAAGAUCCCUGACCCAGAUUCAGUGGACACCGAGGAAUCCGUCCAUUCAUUGGGUGACUCAGUGGAUGAAUUCAGAGCUUGGGGACACUGAGACCUAGAGCUGUCUCGACAUUAAGCCUCUGAGCCACCUCAGCAACUGUCCUUCCUUUUCCGUCCCAGCCCAGUAACAAAAUCACCUUCUAGGCCACCAGCCAGCCAGCCACACCCUCAGCAUGACCUCAGGGGAAAUGAUCAAAAAGGGUGACAAUGUGUCCUCUCGCUGUUUUUUUCUUCCAACAUAAUUAUACACCAUGGAGAUAAUAAUACUAACUGCAAAUAUUUAUUAAACGCCUAUUGUAUGCCUGGCACUCAGCUCUAGGCUUUCCUGUGCAAUAUCUCAGUUAAUCUUCAUGAUCCUCCAUGAGGUGGGGUCUCUACUAGCCCCCAAUUUCCAGACCAGGAAACGAGGCUGGAAGAAAUGAAACUUGCCAAGGUCACAUAGCAAGCUGGUGACAGAACCUGGAGACUCUGUGAAAUCAUUUUUGAUGCAUUUGUGUGGCAAUAUUUUUGCAUUUCUAUAGUGCUCUUUCAGACUUCUCAUUUUUAUUAUUUUAAUUUAAUGUCCUGAUCUAUUUUCAGUUCAUUAUGCCUGUUCUGUUCGUUUGGCAACGUUUCUGCGAACUGUCAAUUUUGUCCUCCUCUUUAAGAGAGUAGCAAUAGUCAGUGGAAUUUGUGAGAAUAUGGGUAAAUAGGUAAAGUGGACAUGGAUGACUGAAAAUUAAUUGUUAAAAUGAAACAACCUAGAAAGCAGACAAAAUUGCUUGCAAAAGGCAUAUGAAAAUUGCAGAAUCUCCCCAGGGUGCGAGGACCUUGUCAAGACGUGAACGAAUGGCUGUAAACAUUCAUUUCCAACCAAAUUCCUUUCAGCUGAUUCACUUGGAACUUAGGGGAAAAAACUUGAAAUUUGUUAUAACUUUGUCAGGCAAAUGCAUAAUUGCUGGGAAAUUAUUUAGAAAUUAAAAGCCCAGAAGUCUGGAGAUGAAAAUGGAGAGUAAAGAGAUACCAAUAAAAGCUAAAAUACACUUUUAAGGUUUUCAGGCCAACCCAUGGGGCAUAAAAAUUAAUAAUACCUGAAAAAACGGGCCAGAAAUACUGUUUCAACCAACUUUUUCUGUAUCAGAUUCACUGAAGUAUAAUUGUGUGCAAUAAAAUGCACAGAUUUUUAAGUGUAGCGUUUAACUUCUGACAAAUAUAUAUACCCAAGUAACAAUCAUACAGUCAAGAUAUCCAUUGACAUUGACAUUGACAUUGAUAAGAGACUGAACAUUUACAUCAGCCCAGAAAGUUCCUCUGUGCCUCUUGGUAAUCAAUCCCUUCACCCCUAGUGAACCAAUGAUCUGGUCCCUAUAAUCAGAGUUUACGUCUGCCUGUUCUAGAAGUUUAUAAAAAUGGACUCAUACAUGCUGUAUUUUUUCAUGCUUGUCUUCUUGCACUCAGUAAAAUGUUUUUGAGAAUUAUGUAUUUUGUUGCUUGAACCAACUCCGGGUCAGUCAGUUCUUUCAUUUUGAUCCAUUGUAUGAAAACACCACACUGUGUUUAUCCAUUUGUCUCUUGAUGGGCA
ensembl:lncRNA